GACGGUCUUGCUGUCACUUAUAGAUGGAUCCGCGCUGCAUUAGCUAGUUGGUAAGGUAACGGCUUACCAAGGCAACGAUGCAUAGCCGACCUGAGAGGGUGAUCGGCCACACUGGAACUGAGACACGGUCCAGACUCCUACGGGAGGCAGCAGUAGGGAAUCUUCCGCAAUGGGCGAAAGCCUGACGGAGCAACGCCGCGUGAGUGAUGAAGGUCUUCGGAUCGUAAAACUCUGUUAUUAGGGAAGAACAUAUGUGUAAGUAACUGUGCACAUCUUGACGGUACCUAAUCAGAAAGCCACGGCUAACUACGUGCCAGCAGCCGCGGUAAUACGUAGGUGGCAAGCGUUAUCCGGAAUUAUUGGGCGUAAAGCGCGCGUAGGCGGUUUUUUAAGUCUGAUGUGAAAGCCCACGGCUCAACCGUGGAGGGUCAUUGGAAACUGGAAAACUUGAGUGCAGAAGAGGAAAGUGGAAUUCCAUGUGUAGCGGUGAAAUGCGCAGAGAUAUGGAGGAACACCAGUGGCGAAGGCGACUUUCUGGUCUGUAACUGACGCUGAUGUGCGAAAGCGUGGGGAUCAAACAGGAUUAGAUACCCUGGUAGUCCACGCCGUAAACGAUGAGUGCUAAGUGUUAGGGGGUUUCCGCCCCUUAGUGCUGCAGCUAACGCAUUAAGCACUCCGCCUGGGGAGUACGACCGCAAGGUUGAAACUCAAAGGAAUUGACGGGGACCCGCACAAGCGGUGGAGCAUGUGG
rnacentral:rRNA from 1 species